rnacentral:lncRNA from 1 species
UUUUUUCCCCCUUGCUUUUUUCCCCCCUUUACCACCCCCUUCUCUCUGCUGAUCCCCGCGACCUGCGUUUUCCUAGCGAUUUGCAACUCUGGACCCAAGGCGCCAGACAGGCCCCCCCUCCCCGGACGAAUCAUAUCUCAUCAGGGACCCCCCCCCUCCCUUGACCAUGUGCAGCCAAAAGCAGAUGGCUCCCCCUACCAUGAGGAUUUAAAAAAAAAAAAAAACAAGACGAAAAUGCCAGUCCCAGAAGCCAGGGUUCCUGGACCCCCAGAGCUGAGAUGGGCUCGGGGAGCCCCACAGGGGCGGGGAGGCCGGACGAGCCUGAAGAAGUGGAGGAGAGAGCUACACAACUUAAGUGGGGCAUCCCCAGCCCAGCUGCCUGCUCAUCCUCCUUUGCGCCCAGGUCCAUUUCUACAACACCCCCCCCCCCCCAAAGAAGUCACUCGGAGGUUCUGUCUGCAGAGAGCCAGGGUGAGAACGGGCAAAUCGAGAGAGCGACCUCGGUCGUGGGCAAGUAGCUUGUUUUUACGUCCUUCAAUAAAAAUUUUAUGAGGAUCA